rnacentral:rRNA from 1 species
AUUGAACGCUGGCGGAAUGCUUUACACAUGCAAGUCGAACGGCAGCACGGACUUCGGUCUGGUGGCGAGUGGCGAACGGGUGAGUAACGUAUCGGAACGUGCCCAGUCGUGGGGGAUAACGUAGUGAAAAUUACGCUAAUACCGCAUACGAUCUAUGGAUGAAAGCGGGGGAUCGCAAGACCUCGCGCGAUUGGAGCGGCCGAUAUCAGAUUAGGUAGUUGGUGGGGUAAAGGCCCACCAAGCCAACGAUCUGUAGCUGGUCUGAGCGGGACGACCAGCCACACUGGAACUGAGACACGGUCCAGACUCCUACGGGAGGCAGCAGUGGGGAAUUUUGGACAAUGGGCGAAAGCCUGAUCCAGCCAUUCCGCGUGCAGGAUGAAGGCCCUCGGGUUGUAAACUGCUUUUGUACAGAACGAAAAGGUUUCUACUAAUACUAGGAGCUCAUGACGGUACUGUAAGAAUAAGCACCGGCUAACUACGUGCCAGCCGCCGCCGUAA